rnacentral:rRNA from 1 species
AGGACGAACGCUGGCGGCGUGCUUAACACAUGCAAGUCGAGCGGUAAGGCCUUUCGGGGUACACGAGCGGCGAACGGGUGAGUAACACGUGGGUGAUCUGCCCUGCACUUCGGGAUAAGCCUGGGAAACUGGGUCUAAUACCGGAUAUGACCUCAGGUUGCAUGACUUGGGGUGGAAAGAUUUAUCGGUGCAGGAUGGGCCCGCGGCCUAUCAGCUUGUUGGUGGGGUAAUGGCCUACCAAGGCGACGACGGGUAGCCGACCUGAGAGGGUGACCGGCCACACUGGGACUGAGACACGGCCCAGACUCCUACGGGAGGCAGCAGUGGGGAAUAUUGCACAAUGGGCGAAAGCCUGAUGCAGCGACGCCGCGUGAGGAUGACGGCCUUCGGGUUGUAAACCUCUUUCAGCAGGACGAAGCGCAAGUGACGGUACCUGCAGAAGAAGCACCGGCUAACGUACGUGCCAGCGAGCCGC